rnacentral:precursor_RNA from 15 species
CCUGCGCCGGGAGGCUGGUGGGGUUGACCUUGGCUCUGCGAGGUCGGCUCAAGGUGGGUCUGACGUUGAGCAGGCCUGUCAGGGCAUCGUUACUCACAGCAGGAGCAUGCAGCAGGGCG